UAAUGGGUGAUGGCGUGCCUUUUGUAGAAUGAACCGGCGAGUUACGAUUUGAUGCAAGGUUAAGCAGUAAAUGUGGAGCCGUAGCGAAAGCGAGUCUGAAUAGGGCGUUUAGUAUUUGGUCGUAGACCCGAAACCAGGUGAUCUACCCUUGGUCAGGUUGAAGUUCAGGUAACACUGAAUGGAGGACCGAACCGACUUACGUUGAAAAGUGAGCGGAUGAACUGAGGGUAGCGGAGAAAUUCCAAUCGAACCUGGAGAUAGCUGGUUCUCUCCGAAAUAGCUUUAGGGCUAGCCUCAAGUGAUGAUUAUUGGAGGUAGAGCACUGUUUGGACGAGGGGCCCCUCUCGGGUUACCGAAUUCAGACAAACUCCGAAUGCCAAUUAAUUUAACUUGGGAGUCAGAACAUGGGUGAUAAGGUCCGUGUUCGAAAGGGAAACAGCCCAGACCACCAGCUAAGGUCCCAAAAUAUAUGUUAAGUGGAAAAGGAUGUGGCGUUGCCCAGACAACUAGGAUGUUGGCUUAGAAGCAGCCAUCAUUUAAAGAGUGCGUAAUAGCUCACUAGUCGAGUGACACUGCGCCGAAAAUGUACCGGGGCUAAACAUAUUACCGAAGCUGUGGAUUGUCCUUUGGACAAUGGUAGGAGAGCGUUCUAAGGGCGUUGAAGCAUGAUCGUAAGGACAUGUGGAGCGCUUAGAAGUGAGAAUGCCGGUGUGAGUAGCGAAAGACGGGUGAGAAUCCCGUCCACCGAUUGACUAAGGUUUCCAGAGGAAGGCUCGUCCGCUCUGGGUUAGUCGGGUCCUAAGCUGAGGCCGACAGGCGUAGGCGAUGGAUAACAGGUUGAUAUUCCUGUACCACCUAUAAUCGUUUUAAUCGAUGGGGGGACGCAGUAGGAUAGGCGAAGCGUGCGAUUGGAUUGCACGUCUAAGCAGUAAGGCUGAGUAUUAGGCAAAUCCGGUACUCGUUAAGGCUGAGCUGUGAUGGGGAGAAGACAUUGUGUCUUCGAGUCGUUGAUUUCACACUGCCGAGAAAAGCCUCUAGAUAGAAAAUAGGUGCCCGUACCGCAAACCGACACAGGUAGUCAAGAUGAGAAUUCUAAGGUGAGCGAGCGAACUCUCGUUAAGGAACUCGGCAAAAUGACCCCGUAACUUCGGGAGAAGGGGUGCUCUUUAGGGUUAACGCCCAGAAGAGCCGCAGUGAAUAGGCCCAAGCGACUGUUUAUCAAAAACACAGGUCUCUGCUAAACCGUAAGGUGAUGUAUAGGGGCUGACGCCUGCCCGGUGCUGGAAGGUUAAGAGGAGUGGUUAGCUUCUGCGAAGCUACGAAUCGAAGCCCCAGUAAACGGCGGCCGUAACUAUAACGGUCCUAAGGUAGCGAAAUUCCUUGUCGGGUAAGUUCCGACCCGCACGAAAGGCGUAACGAUUUGGGCACUGUCUCAACGAGAGACUCGGUGAAAUCAUAGUACCUGUGAAGAUGCAGGUUACCCGCGACAGGACGGAAAGACCCCGUGGAGCUUUACUGUAGCCUGAUAUUGAAAUUCGGCACAGCUUGUACAGGAUAGGUAGGAGCCUUUGAAACGUGAGCGCUAGCUUACGUGGAGGCGCUGGUGGG
rnacentral:rRNA from 1 species